rnacentral:lncRNA from 1 species
AGGCCGCGGCAAGGCAAGCUGGUGCUGGGAGUGGAAGGAGAUGAGCUGGGUGCGGAUGCGGCCGAGCCAGAUGAGGGGUGACCUCUGCCUGAGAGAUGCACCUAGGUCUAAAUUCCAGGUGCAUCAUCUACUGCUUCUCAUCUGUGUGCCCACGGAUGAGCUGCUUAAACUCCCUGAGCUUCCUGGAAUGUGGUAGGGGAUGGACCAGAUGAUGGACCAUCAGAAAGGGAGUGGGAUGUGUUCCUUGAAGCAGGUGGGAGUUGCCUGGAGCAGGACAUUGUAACGGAAACACAUCUGGCAGGCUCCGGGUCCUACAUGUCCAAAGGCUAGGAAAUGCGGGUGCCCUUGGCAUUCAUUGCGUGAAAUCCUUGGUGGUGUGGCCGGGCUGGAACGUAAAGAGUGGAGACAGAGGAAAUGAGGCAGACGAGCACAUAAGAAGGAGGCCCACCCGCAAAGCCAGAAAGAUCGCAGAGGCGAGAGGGCUCUAAAGCCAGAGUUUGGUUAUAUGAACCAGUCAAUGUCCCGCUUUGCUGAAGCUAGUUUGAGUCUGGGUUUUCCUCCUUUACCACCUGUGCCAUCCGUCCACAGUGAAAGUGGUGAGAUAAGCAGAAGUCUCUUCAGAGCAGGACGACAGGCGCCCUCAUCUCAAGUGUGACCCACUCAGGGCCAUGGAGCCCUUGGCUGAUGCUCUGGGAGUCAUCCACCAGCUAAUGCAAUUUUCAGAAAUUAAUUACACAGAAUAAUCUGUCAAGUAGGUGGGCACGGUGUUUGAUUCUCUCUCUCUGGCAUUUAAAAAUUAGAUCACGUAACUGUCUCCCAGAUUAACUGCCAUUUGUAACCGGUCUCCCAGGCCUCAAAUACUGCCUUCCUGUCACCCCUCACACCCCCUACAACCAUGCUUUAGCCAAAUGAAUUUUAUCGUAUGCACAUUAAACCACACCUCUCUCCCCUUCUCCCAAAGAAUCUCAGGCGAAAGCAUGAAGUUUUUCUCCUGGAUUACAAGGCAGUUCUUACUUCUCUCCAGCCUUGUCUUUCAGUGAGACUCCCCAGCCUUCAUUCCUCUGUUCCCCUAGUCACACUGAAAUUAUUUUCAAUUUUGGGAGUGUGCUGUCUUGUCAUCAUCAGAUCCUUAGGUACCGUGAAACGAGAUGGAGUUUCUCCUUAGAAAUGUUAUCCUUCCCUCAUUCUCCUCUUUCCCUCUUAUGAACUCCGAGGGCCCUCCUUAGAUGUCACUGUCUCUGGGGGAUUGAAAUUAGGAACUCUUUCCUUGGAUGCUUGAAAAACCGUACCCUUCCCAUGCUGUGCAGCAACACUGCUGAGUGAGCGUCCGGCUUGGGUCUUCUCCUGGGAUCACAGCUACCCUAAAUUUCCCAGCCCCCGGCAAUGUGGCAGGUUAUGUGAUAGAGUUUUGACCGGUGGACCGAGUGGUGAGCAUCCGGAACAAGCAGUAAGCAGAUGGAGACCCAGUCCUCAUCAUUGUUCUCCGAAGGGAAGGUAGCCAGUCAGCAAGGAGUCACGUAAGAACAUCUUGAGUAAUGAUAUGUGCUAUAAGGGAACACAGGGAAAUGGGUUCCAAGUCAGGGGUCAUCAGAGCACAGGGGAAGCCCUUCGCACAGGUGGCCAGAGAAACCAUCUCCCAAGAGAUGACGGGGCUCAGAGCCUUGAUAACAGAACGUCCCUGUGUAGGUUUGGGGCAAAGUAUUCUCCACAUUGUUGCCUAUUCAUUGUAUUAGGUGAGGAGUUUGAAAAUAUAUAUCCUCAGCCCACUCCUUCAGAGAUUCUGACAUCUACCUGGAUUUAUAUUUAAUUCUUCAUUUGAUUUUAACGUAGUUCGAAAGUAUGAGGCACAGAUUGAGAGAUCCAACUUUCCUGGAAGAAGCAAAGCAAUUGAAAGGCUUUAGGAAGAAAUAAGCUGGAAAGGCGAAGGAUGGAAAGGAGGACCGAGAAGCUAAAUUAUAAAGAGAGCAGGAGGUGUGAUGGGCAAUCAGUGCCGGACGUCCGAGGUCAGAGGUGAGCAAAGGCAGAUGUGCAGUAGGUCAAGCUAGGGAAUCUGAGCUUGAUUUGGAUGGCAGUGGGAUGUCAUUAGGGUGGCAUCUUGGGUAAUCAGAUCUGAUUUAUACUUUUAUGGUACUCUGUCCGUGAAAACAGUAGGCUGGUGGGGUUGAGAGAAGAAGAUAUUGUGGGAGGGAACCCAGGAGAGAGGAUGGUAGCUUGAACAGAGCAGGGAGGGGAAGACAUUGAGAAAAAUUGGACUCCACAUAUGUUCUGGACAUAAAGGGAUCGUGGCCGCGUGAUAAAAGUAAGAGUGACUUUUAGGAUUUGGGGUCUGGUGACGGUGGGUGGAAGUGUAGGUAGAAAAAAUUGCCAGAGAAAGGGUUUGGAGUCAUGGGGAAGUAAGAGUUCUGUCUGGACACAUCCUGUUGAAGAUUCCAAGUGAAGUGAAGGGUGACAUUGAUUGACUUACCUGGAACUCAAGAGAAAAGAAGGCAGAUUCGGAGACAGGAGUGAGCGAAGCAUCAGUGUAUAGAUGGCCUUUGAAAGCUGGAGUAUUUUCAGAAGCAACCGGUCGACUCUGUCAAAUGAAGCAGCACCAUUGACUCAAGGGAAUUCUGAUCACUGACCACAGGGCUUGCCAAGAUGGUACCUAAAUAACAGCUGCUUAGGUGGCAUUUGCGAAGAAUGGAGGUUGAGAGCAUGGCUCAGGAAGAGUUUAAAAGUUAAACAGGUUGAAGACAUUGGACUUCAGGUGAAGGGCACUGUGAAAAGUCUUGUCACUGUGUUUCAGAUGGGCCGCAAGUGACUGGAUGAAUGAGUGAAUGAAGGGGGCAAUUGCUGGUGCCUUAGGUGAAGCCCGAAGCUUAUUGCUUGGUGCUGUGCACACCAUGCAAACAGUCCUCUGGCCUCGUGGCCUCCACACAGUGCAUCGUUUGGCAUUGGCUUAUCAAAGACACAGUUCAUUUCUCAAAUGCCCUCAUGGAAAAACAGCCAUAAAUUUUCCUUUCAGGGUUGGGGCUCUUUCCAGGUGUUUCCUGGAUGAUCCAGGUAGGUCUGUGAAAGUACUUCCCAGGGAGGCCUGGUACUUUCCUUGCCCAGCAGGCUGGGUUCUGAGAAAUCCUAUUGUAAUGAUCAGACAUGGAGUUUGUGCUGCAUCUGUAAAUAGAUCCAGUGGCCCACAGAGAGAGUUUUUAGGAGAAAAGCCAGACUUGACGACAGCAUUCUUUCCAACAGCCUGCCUGAAUUUUUUCCUGUCAUCUUCUUCUUCUUUCUUAAAAAAGAAAAAAAAAAAAAAAAGGAAAGAAAGAAAAGAGAAAGGAGAGGAAAAGAAAUUCGAGAAAGAAAAACAUGCAAGCAAACAAACAAACAAAAAACUCUAUUUUUUGAAUUAGCCCAAAGCACACAACAUGAAAUCAAGUGCAAUCUAUUAUUUUGGUGUGGUUGUGAGCGUUUUCCUCCUCUGUUCCUGAAUAAUGUUCUUUGAAGGCGGCCUCAUCCAUAAACUGCUCUGGUGAAGUUUCCCAGGCCUAGAAUAAUGAAUAACAAUUAGAGGCAUUUAAAAAGUAAUAUUUUUUUCCCUGCAAUUUGGAAAUUGAUUUAUGAAUUUGGGGAUCCUCCAGUUUCAUCAAAUAAAUGGUUUCUUCAAUUGAGUUCUUUUGCCAGCUGAGAAAAAGCCCCCUGAAGGCUGGCAAGCUUGUGAAACUUUCCUGCCAGUUUAUUGAUUUUGAUAGAAAAGGAACUUUUGACAUUUAACAGAAUUUGACUCUGCGUGAAGAAAAGCCAGAGUCAUUUUCACCUAGAUAAUUACUACAUGGAAGCCGUCACUCAGGCACUGUGGAUUUCUCAUCACCCGAACCCAGUUUUCUCAGGAGCAUUUUUCUAAGUGUUUGGUCAGAAUGUUUUUAUAAACAUGUCCUGAAAAUUUAUGAAAGAGGCUGGUCUAUUCUCUUAUUAUUAGAAAGCAGUAGAUGAUAGGUAAAUAGGUGGGAGAUAGAUAGAUAAAUGAUAGCAUGUUGAGAGAAACAUCACAUCUUUGGAUAUGUGAUUUUUGGCAUAAGAAAUAAAAUGAACUUCAUCUCAAAGUUCUUUUCCUCCCUUUCCGUACUUUUUCUACCAUCAACAAGAUACUUCCUUUUACGAUCCACUGUUCUUGAAAAUUAUCACAUCUCCUGGCUGCAGACAAACAGAACGAGCCACAUGCACCCUCCUGCAAGGCGAAUGCAUUAAGAAGCGUGAGCGGUGCCGUCACUUGGCUCCUCAUGUCCUUUCCCAAACCGAGCCAAAGCAUUGCCUCUGUCUGGCUAGACUUUCUCGAUUAAUUCUGACCAGUUUGAGUCAUUUCGUCGGCCUACACGUCCUAUGAUCCCUCCACCUAGAAGGACAGUUCAUUCACCAAGCCUUGACUGAGCAGUGACAGUGCUCCAAGAACUGACAUGUGCCCUAGGGACACAGAGCUGGACACGAUAUUCUGUCACGGAAUAGGAUUCUCAACCUAGGCUCUAGAAUAAUAGAC